GAUCAUGGCUCAGGACGAACGCUGGCGGCGUGCCUAAUACAUGCAAGUAGAACGCUGAAGAGAGGAGCUUGCUCUUCUUGGAUGAGUUGCGAACGGGUGAGUAACGCGUAGGUAACCUGCCUGGUAGCGGGGGAUAACUAUUGGAAACGAUAGCUAAUACCGCAUAAUAGUAGAUGUUGCAUGACAUUUGCUUAAAAGGUGCAAUUGCAUCACUACCAGAUGG
rnacentral:rRNA from 1 species